rnacentral:rRNA from 2 species
GGUUUCUUUUGUCUGAUGUGUAAGCCCCCGCUUUUACCGUGGAGGGUCAUUGUAAACUGGGGAACUUGAGUGCCUAAAAGAAAAGCGGAAUUCCCCGUGUAGCGGUGAAAUGCGUAGAGAUGUGGAGGAACACCCGUGGCGAAGGCGGCUUUUUGGUCUGUAACUGACGCUGAGGCGCGAAAGCGUGGGGAGCAAACAGGAUUAGAUACCCUGGUAGUCCACGCCGUAAACGAUGAGUGCUAAUUGUUAGAGGGUUUCCGCCCUCUUAUUGCUGCAGCUAACGCAUUAAGCACUCCGCCUGGGGAGUACGGUCGCAAGACUGAAACUCAAAGGAAUUGACGGGGGCCCGCACAAGCGGUGGAGCAUGUGGUUUAAUUCUAAGCAUCGCGAAGAACCUUACCAGGUCUUGACAUCCUCUGAGGGCUCUAGAGAUAGAGCGUUCCCCUUCGGGGGACAGAGUGACAGGUGGUGCAUGGUUGUCGUCCGCUCGUGUCGUGAGAUGUUGGGUUAAGUCCCG